UAUUCAAAUUUUUUCCUCUAUUUGUCUAUUGGUAGAAAAAAAAACUGUUAACUGUCAGUCAUUAUUCAAUUUUUAAUUAGAACUGCUUUACAGAAUUGUUGCGGAGCAUAAUGAUGAUAAGGAAAUAUUGUAAAAAACAAGAUUCUUACUAGAGCAAUGCUGUUGUUUGGCAACUUUGAAAAUUGUGCAUAUUAUGAGUUGCGGUAUCUAUAGAAGUGAAAUUCUGAAUCAUUAUUUAAUAAAAGUUGAUUCCC
rnacentral:misc_RNA from 1 species